ensembl:snRNA U6 U6 spliceosomal RNA
GUGCUUUAACAGCACAUGUACUAAGAGAAAAUUUACAUUGCUUCUGUGCAAGGAUGGCAUGUAGAUUCAUGAAAUAUUCAAUAUUUUU